AUUGAACGCUGGCGGUAUGCUUAACACAUGCAAGUCGAACGGUAGCAGGUCUAGCUUGCUAGAUGCUGACGAGUGGCGGACGGGUGAGUAACGCGUAGGAAUCUGCCUUAUUGUGGGGGAUAACCUGGGGAAACUCAGGCUAAUACCGCAUGAGCCCUAAGGGGGAAAGGAUGGGACCGCAAGGCCAUUCGCGAUAAGAUGAGCCUGCGUCGGAUUAGCUUGUUGUGGGGUAAAGGCCUACCGAAGGCGAGGAUCCGUAGCUGGUCUGAGAGGACGACCAGCCACACUGGGACUGAGACACGGCCCAGACUCCUACGGGAGGCAGCAGUGGGGAAUAUUGGACAAUGGGGGNAACCCUGAUCCAGCAAUACCGCGUGUGUGAAGAAGGCCUGCGGGUUU
rnacentral:rRNA from 1 species